rnacentral:rRNA from 1 species
GAUGAACGCUGGCGGCGUGCCUAAUACAUGCAAGUCGAGCGAACGGACGAGAAGCUUGCUUCUCUGAUGUUAGCGGCGGACGGGUGAGUAACACGUGGAUAACCUACCUAUAAGACUGGGAUAACUUCGGGAAACCGGAGCUAAUACCGGAUAAUAUUUUGAACCUCAUGGUUCAAAAGUGAAAGACGGUCUUGCUGUCACUUAUAGAUGGAUCCGCGCUGCAUUAGCUAGUUGGUAAGGUAACGGCUUACCAAGGCAACGAUGCAUAGCCGACCUGAGAGGGGGAUCGGCCACACUGGAACUGAGACACGGUCCAGACUCCUACGGGAGGCAGCAGUAGGGAAUCUUCCGCAAUGGGCGAAAGCAUGACGGAGCAACGCCGCGUGAGUGAUGAAGGUCUUCGGAUCGUAAAACUCUGUUAUUAGGGAAGAACAUAUGUGUAAGUAACUGUGCACAUCUUGACGGUACCUAAUCAGAAAGCCACGGCUAACUACGUG